rnacentral:rRNA from 1 species
ACCUGCGCAAGGAUCAUUC